UACGUAGGGGGCAAGCGUUGUCCGGAAUCAUUGGGCGUAAAGAGCGUGUAGGCGGCUCGAUAAGUCUGCUGUGAAAGUCCAGGGCUCAACCCUGGAAGGCCGGUGGAAACUGUCGGGCUAGAGUCCGGAAGAGGCGAGUGGAAUUCCCGGUGUAGCGGUGAAAUGCGCAGAUAUCGGGAGGAACACCAAUGGCGAAGGCAGCUCGCUGGGACGUUACUGACACUGAGGCGCGAAAGCGUGGGGAGCGAACAGG
rnacentral:rRNA from 1 species